GAUGAACGCUGGCGGCGUGCCUAAUACAUGCAAGUCGAGCGAACGGACGAGAAGCUUGCUCCUCUGACGUUAGCGGCGGACGGGUGAGUAACACGUGGAUAACCUACCUAUAAGACUGGGAUAACUUCGGGAAACCGUAGCUAAUACCGGAUAAUAUUUUGAACCGCAUGGUUCAAUAGUGAAAGACGGUUUUGCUGUCACUUAUAGAUGGAUCCGCGCCGCAUUAGCUAGUUGGUAAGGUAACGGCUUACCAAGGCAACGAUGCGUAGCCGACCUGAGAGGGUGAUCGGCCACACUGGAACUGAGACACGGUCCAGACUCCUACGGGAGGCAGCAGUAGGGAAUCUUCCGCAAUGGGCGAAAGCCUGACGGAGCAACGCCGCGUGAGUGAUGAAGGUCUUCGGAUCGUAAAACUCUGUUAUUAGGGAAGAACAAAUGUGUAAGUAACUAUGCACGUCUUGACGGUACCUAAUCAGAAAGCCACGGCUAACUACGUG
rnacentral:rRNA from 1 species